UGUAGCUCACGAAAGCUUAUGCUCUAAUAAAUUUUAGUCUCUAAGGUGCCACAAGUACUCCUUUUCUUUUUGCGAAUACAGACUAACACGGCUGCUACUCUGAAACCAGAUACUAUGAUGAUGGUCAUCUGUAGAAUAGCAUGCUCAAUGUGCAAUAUCACACCACUACAAUGGAAUUGUCAGACCAUAGUCACAAUAUACUACGGUGUUCUUAAUUAUUGUAUCAACACUGUAGUAUACUGUGACAAUCAACCCCUAAUUAGUGAGUGCUGUAUAAAUGGUGAUGUGUGAUCUGUAGUACAAUCUAGCUGUGUAUUUUAGUUGUUUAUAUCAUGGGUAACUGUUACAGUAUAGGCACAAAUUGAAGGGAUGGCUUUGACGUAGUGUGAUUUGUUGUAGAAGGAAUAACAGUAACAAUCCAGCCCAGAUUGGCAGUGACAAAGUACAGCAGAACCCCUGAUUUAAUUGGGACCUCUCUGGCCAGAUCGGAAAAUUUGGAUAAUCCAGAGAAUGGAAAAGUAUGAUGCCACAGCGCCAUCUAGUGGCCACAGGAGAGAUCUCCUGCUUCUGGACUGGUGUGGGCUGGUUGUUCAGUUAAUAGGAAUGCCAGAUAAUGGAGGGUCAGAUAAACAGGGUUCUAUUGUAGUUCCCAUCUGAACUAUGUGAAGUAAGUCAGUCAUGUCAGUCUAGUUCCUGGUGGACAGGUGUCCACAUCACAAAAACUAUCAGAAUCAUAGUUCAGUAACCCCUUGUUCUGAGUCUGAGCAAAGAGGUCAAGGAUUUAGCAGACAUGGAAGUAGAACUACUUUCUCGUAGAGGUGCCUUGUCUAGUCUGGAGGGAGACACAUUCGUGGGGCAUUGAGGGAAAGCUUGCACCUAUGGCUGUACCUGUUCUUUGAGAACUACAAAUUCUGGAGCUCUCAAUUCAGCAUAUUUCAUGAGCAGGACGUUCACAUGGAAGGAGAAAAUGUUACAACCUGAAUGUCCGCUGUUUGAGGAAAGACAACCUUUCUUCUGCUUGUAUCAUUAUCAACUUGGUCGUAUGAGGAGAUUUUUUUAAGCAUUUAUCCAGUGUUGUUUAAAUUAAGAUACUUGAUUUUUAGUCCAGGAUAUACACUGUUUUGUAUAUGGAUUUGCUCAGGUCCCCUACAUAAGCAUAAGAUCCCAAAGUCCUGUUACAAUCUUUAUUCAAGUUGUGUGAAAUAUUUUUAUAGUUUCAGUAACACAGUUCAAAAGAUGGUCCUGGCCAUCCCAAACUUCCUAAAGAAAUGGAUAGGGAAAUGUCUAUGGCUUGCUAGUUCCUUGUGUUAUUGCAAAGCCUGAAAUGAUUUAAAUAAACUAUGUCUGAACAAUAUAAUCUAGUGUCUUUG